UGAGCUACAAGAAGAUCAACCUUAAAUCUCUCAAAUACAACCCUACAAAUAUAUACAAAGUGAAAAACAACUCAUGGAGUAUUGUGGGAAACAUAACAACAUAAGUUUCCUUCAGCAAUCCAAUGAGAUCUUUAGUGGCGUGGUAACCAAACUUGGCCAGGAGUGCAUGUCUAUUACUCCAAUAUUGUGCAUCCUUGAGGAGAUUGCGAAAUAAGGUGUGGUUAGGCUCAUGCAAAAGACUUUGCAGAAACAUUUCCUUCUGAUCGAGGAGGACUUCGAG
rnacentral:lncRNA from 1 species